rnacentral:rRNA from 1 species
AGCAGCCGCGGUAAUUCCAGCUCCAAUAGCGUAUAUUAAAGUUGCUGCAGUUAAAAAGCUCGUAGUUGAAUUUCGGGAUCAAUAUGUUGGUCGUGCCUCGGUACGUACUAGCUUAUUGGUUUCUCCCUUCUGACGAACCAUGAUGUCAUUUAUUUGGUGUUAUUGGGGAAUCAGGACUGUUACUUUGAAAAAAUUAGAGUGUUUAAAGCAGGCUCACGCUUGAAUACAUUAGCAUGGAAUAAUGAAAUAGGACGUUUGAUUCUAUUUUGUUGGUUUCUAGGAUCGACGUAAUGAUUAAUAGGGAUAGUUGGGGGCAUUAGUAUUCAAUUGUCAGAGGUGAAAUUCUUGGAUUUAUUGAAGACUAACUACUGCGAAAGCAUUUGCCAAGGAUGUUUUCAUUAAUCAAGAACGAAAGUUAGGGGAUCGAAGACGAUCAGAUACCGUCGUAGUCUUAACCAUAAACUAUGCCGACUAGGGAUCGGAUGAUGUUAAUUUUUUAAUGACUCAUUCGGCGCCUUACG